rnacentral:rRNA from 1 species
AGUGAACGCUGGCGGUAGGCCUAACACAUGCAAGUCGAACGGCAGCACAGUAAGAGCUUGCUCUUACGGGUGGCGAGUGGCGGACGGGUGAGGAAUACAUCGGAAUCUACUUUUUCGUGGGGGAUAACGUAGGGAAGCUUACGCUAAUACCGCAUACGACCUACGGGUGAAAGCAGGGGAUCUUCGGACCUUGCGCGAUUGAAUGAGCCGAUGUCGGAUUAGCUAGCUGGCGGGGUAAAGGCCCACCAAGGCGACGAUCCGUAGCUGGUCUGAGAGGAUGAUCAGCCACACUGGAACUGAGACACGGUCCAGACUCCUACGGGAGGCAGCAGUGGGGAAUAUUGGACAAUGGGCGCAAGCCUGAUCCAGCCAUACCGCGUGGGUGAAGAAGGCCUUCGGGUUGUAAAGCCCUUUUGUUGGGAAAGAAAAGCAGCAGGUUAAUACCCCGCUGUUCUGACGGUACCCAAAGAAUAAGCACCGGCUAACUUCGUG